rnacentral:rRNA from 1 species
UACGAAGGGUGCAAGCGUUACUCGGAAUUACUGGGCGUAAAGCGUGCGUAGGUGGUUUGUUAAGUCUGUUGUGAAAGCCCCGGGCUCAACCUGGGAAUGGCAAUGGAUACUGGCAGGCUAGAGUGCGGUAGAGGGUAGUGGAAUUCCCGGUGUAGCGGUGAAAUGCGUAGAGAUCGGGAGGAACACCAGUGGCGAAGGCGGCUCUCUGGACCGAUACUGACGCUGAGGCGCGAAAGCGUGGGGAGCAAACAGG